GUGUAUUCGUAGGAGGAACACAUAAUUACUUGGACUAUCCCCUUCCCCUAUACCAGAGCACCAACCGCGGACACUCACUGAAGGAAGACGUGGAUGUCGGCGACAUGGCUGAUCUGAACUCCGGAUGGCGGCGCAGGCGCAGUACGUCCGGAAACCGACAGAUGGCCAGUGAACGGGACGUCAAACAAUUUUUUUGAAAUGAAUAAAAAAGGUACCGAUCUGAAACGACAGGAAAGCAUGGAUCUUCCACAGUUAGAAACGUCUCAACGGUAAACAAAGAUAAUGCC